GACGAACGCUGGCGGCGUGCUUAACACAUGCAAGUCGAAAGUGGCGAACGGGUGAGUAAUACGUGGGUAACCUGCCCUCCUUUUUGGGAUAAGCCUUGGAAACGGGGUCUAAUACCGAAUAAAGGGGGAUGGGAUCGCGGACUAUCAGCUUGUUGGUGAGGUAACGGCCCACCUAGGUGAUGGUCAGUAGCCGGACGGAGAGGUUGCUCGGCCGAAUUUGUACUGAGACGCGGCCCAGGCUACUACGGGAUGAAGGAGUGAGGAAUAUUGGGCAAUUGGCGCAAGCCUGACCCAGCAACGCCGCGUGAAAGAAGACGGUCUUCGGAUUGUAAACUUCGUUGGACAGAAACGCGGUACCUGUAGAAUAAGCCACGGCUAACUACGUGCCAGCCGCCGCGGUAAUUC
rnacentral:rRNA from 1 species